UACAGAGGUCUUAAGCGUUGUUCGGAUUCAUUGGGCGUAAAGGGUGUGUAGGUGGCGCGCUAAGUCGGGUGUGAAAUUUCGGAGCUUAACUCCGAAACUGCAUUCGAUACUGGCGUGCUUGAGGACUGGAGAGGAGACUGGAAUUUACGGUGUAGCAGUGAAAUGCGUAGAUAUCGUAAGGAAGACCAGUGGCGAAGGCGGGUCUCUGGACAGUUCCUGACACUGAGACACGAAGGCCAGGGGAGCAAACGGG
rnacentral:rRNA from 1 species